rnacentral:rRNA from 1 species
CGGCGGACGGGUGAGUAACACGUGGGUAACCUACCUAUAAGACUGGGACAACUUCGGGAAACCGGAGCUAAUACCGGAUAAGAUAUCGAACCGCAUGGUUCGAUAGUGAAAGAUGGUUUUGCUAUCACUUAUAGAUGGACCCGCGCCGUAUUAGCUAGUUGGUGGGGUAACGGCUCACCAAGGCAACGAUACGUAGCCGACCUGAGAGGGUGAUCGGCCACACUGGAACUGAGACACGGUCCAGACUCCUACGGGAGGCAGCAGCC